AGUCGAACGGCAGCACGGGAGCAAUCCUGGUGGCGAGUGGCGAACGGGUGAGUAAUACAUCGGAACGUGUCCUGUAGUGGGGGAUAGCCCGGCGAAAGCCGGAUUAAUACCGCAUACGCUCUACGGAGGAAAGGGGGGGAUCUUAGGACCUCCCGCUACAGGGGCGGCCGAUGGCAGAUUAGCUAGUUGGUGGGGUAAAGGCCUACCAAGGCGACGAUCUGUAGCUGGUCUGAGAGGACGACCAGCCACACUGGGACUGAGACACGGCCCAGACUCCUACGGGAGGCAGCAGUGGGGAAUUUUGGACAAUGGGCGAAAGCCUGAUCCAGCAAUGCCGCGUGUGUGAAGAAGGCCUUCGGGUUGUAAAGCACUUUUGUCCGGAAAGAAAACGUCGUGGUUAAUACCCGUGGCGGAUGACGGUACCGGAAGAAUAAGCACCGGCUAACUACGUGCCAGCAGCCGCGGUAAUACGUAGGGUGCAAGCGUUAAUCGGAAUUACUGGGCGUAAAGCGUGCGCAGGCGGUUCGCUAAGACAGAUGUGAAAUCCCCGGGCUUAACCUGGGAACUGCAUUUGUGACUGGCGGGCUAGAGUAUGGCAGAGGGGGGUAGAAUUCCACGUGUAGCAGUGAAAUGCGUAGAGAUGUGGAGGAAUACCGAUGGCGAAGGCAGCCCCCUGGGCCAAUACUGACGCUCAUGCACGAAAGCGUGGGGAGCAAACAGGAUUAGAUACCCUGGUAGUCCACGCCCUAAACGAUGUCAACUAGUUGUUGGGUCUUCAUUGACUUAGUAACGUAGCUAACGCGUGAAGUUGACCGCCUGGGGAGUACGGUCGCAAGAUUAAAACUCAAAGGAAUUGACGGGGACCCGCACAAGCGGUGGAUGAUGUGGAUUAAUUCGAUGCAACGCGAAAAACCUUACCUACCCUUGACAUGUAUGGAACCCUGCUGAGAGGUGGGGGUGCCCGAAAGGGAGCCAUAACACAGGUGCUGCAUGGCUGUCGUCAGCUC
rnacentral:rRNA from 1 species